AAUCGAGUUCGCUGUUUGCAAGCCAACUUGUGUUCGGUUCGAAAUGAGCUCGAGAACGAAUCACUCGUUUAAUAAACGAGCCAAACACGAGCCGAACUUUUCAAUUUUUUUAAUAAACAAGCAAAACACGAGCUGAGGUCGGCUCACUCAUGUUCAACUCGAAAACAGCUCGACACACACACACACACACACACAAACACACACACACACACACAAAAUGGGUAAAAUUUCCACUAUUAGAUCAAACUCAAAUGGUAAGAUCUCAUCAAUUUAUUUUCUAUCCAUAUUCUUCAUAAUUCUUUUAGCUUGUUGUUCAUGAACAGCUUCUCGUCAAUUUUUCGGCUCAGAUACUUUAACAAGCCAGCUUGUAUUCGGCUCGUGUUUGGACCCUAAGAAGUACAAUAGUUUGGCUAAUUUACUUAUUCUUCAUUUCAUUCACGCAUUUAUUAUUUUGACGGUUGUUAUUUAGUUUACCGUUCAUGAGUCUGAUUAUCUAUUUCUGGUGUGGGCAUUUUUUAGAGGUUUAUGAAUGCAACUGCAGAUGAUUUGGGUAAUUAUAGUAAUUAUUGAGGAGAAAUAUAAACCCCAUUUUAUUUUAGUUUGAUUUAAAUUUAAAUUUUUUUUUUGUCUUAAUUAAUGGCAACAACUUCAAAGCUUUGUUCCUUGGCUAGUUUGGUAGAUACAAAAAUAAGAAUAUCACACAAUAAUAAUCACAAUAAAAUUUUGCUUCAUAACAUAAAAAGAGAUCAUUUAAUGAGUACUUAAUUUGGCACCUUACAUGUACUUGAAAACAUAAUAUUUGGAAUCCUUUACCAACCAAUCAUGCUCCCAAUUUAAUAGUGAAAUGGUGAUAUCUUUUCAUGAGUCUCAAUCCCCAUGCUUAAGCACAUGCUUGACAUGUACUUGUGGGAAUUGUAACAAUAAUUAACUUAGUGUUAUUUAUUACCCUCUUUUUGUGUAUUUAAACUUUAUUUUCGAUAAUAGAAUAUUUAAAUUGACAAUACAUUUGAAUUGAAUACUCAACUUUACAUGCAAUUUUGAUAGAAUUUUUUAAAAUUAUUUAAAACAAGAUCUCCGUGUUUUGGAAAUUAAUUAGCACUUUAGCAUAACUCAACAAACUAAUAAUUAAUGUACAUAAAUAAAUUGGCUAUUUAUCUACAUGUAGUUGGCUAAACUUUAUCAAAUUCUCCAACAACCUAUCUUGCACUUUGUUUUUUUUUCCCCAUUAGCAUGAAUAUGAUGCAACAUAAAAGACCCAUAAGAAUGAUUACAAAUGUUUGGUGUGGGAACUCCCCUACCUACCUAUAAUAAAGUGACAAAUAGAGCAUUGAUUAAUUAUGAAGGCAUGUGACAAAUCAUGUGCAUGAACCAUUAGUGAUUUGUCUCUAAUGUAUUUUUUGUUUUCUAAUUUUAAUUAUAAUCUAUCUUUCACUAUCUCACAACUAGAGCAUUUUGUACAUUCUUAUAGUACUUCAUCUUUAUUAAUCAUUCAUUUUAUCUAAUUAUUCUUCAUCUAUUUAUAUUUAUAUCUAUAUAUUAUUUUUUCUAAAAUUGCCACAUGGCCACUUUUUCUUCAUGAUUGAGUGUGGGCUCCACCCCCGAAUCAGUUCAAGUCCUUCCGCUUCCUUUUUCUUCGGCUGUUACUUUUAUUUAUCGACAAGAUGAAUCCCACUCAUCAUCGCUUCUUUUAUCAUCGUUUUCUCUUUUUUUGUCGAUGUUUUUUAUUUUUCUCUAAUUAUCUACUGUCAGAUCGCGCGGGAUAUUACGCUAGCUAGUUUAACAAUAUGUGAUGUAUAUAAAAAAAUUAACAUGGUGUACAAAUAUCUCGAUGCACAAGAUACAGGCAAUUACUUUUAACAAGGCACUUGCGCUAGAAACGACCAGUAAAUCAAACUAAAUUAAAAUAUUAAAAAGUUGGAUAGUAAAAAUAGUCCGAAGUUUAAGUCAACUCUAUACAAUUUUACCUGCUUGCAUGUUGUUUGAUUUUUUUUUGUUUUUAAAUUUAUGCUAACUAUUGCACCUUAAGAUGCGUGCAAAUGUGGAUAAACUAGGCUCAUAUAUGUCACAUGUAUGAGCAUUGAUAUGAAAAUGAUGGAGUGGGCUAAGAGAAAAGGAGAAGAUCAGAAGACCCAUUUAAUUGUAGCUAUAUUUGCUUUUAAUAGUAAAUAAAAAAGGUAAAAAUGUAUAGAUAAUUCUUAUACUCUAUUUCCAUUGUUAAAAUUUUAUAUGUGAAUAGUUGCAUGUUGAAUAAUUAGUAAAGAAAAUAAAGAAUUAAUAUAUAUUAAUAGGUUCAAGUCUCAUAAGUUUAAGUUUUUAGUUUAUAUGAGUUACAUUAGAUAUGUCACAUUUUUAUUACAUGAAGGUCCUAGAUCAGAAUUUUCUAACAUAUAUUUCCAAAUAUCUGCAUAAAUAUUUCACUUCCAAACAUCAAAAAAAUUGUCUAAUAUUCUUAUAAAAUAACCAUCUUUCCCUUUUGUGGUUACCAAUUUAUAUAUUUCUGUCCACAUCAAAUAAAAGUUUGACUUUUUUAAUUAAAAAAAAUUAAAUAUAUAAUAUAUGUAAAAAUUUAGAAAAUUAAGUGUUUAAAUAAAAAGUAGGGUAAACUUUAAUUUACCACUAUAUGGUUUAAAAGUUACACUUGAUUACCCAAAAAAAUCUGCAAGUAAAUAUAUAGGAUAACAAAAUAAAUUAUUUUUUCUUGAAAACUGCACGAUGUUACUCUAUUUAACGAUAUAUCAUUAUAGUGAAAUAAAAAAUAAAAUCAUAAAAUAGCUAAGUGUAACUUAACCACAAUGUGACAAAUUAAGUGAAAGCACGCUAAACUAUAGGGCAGUUAAGUGAAACUUUUUGAAACAUAAUAUGGUAAUUAAAGCUUACCCUGAAAAGUAUUAGAACCAAAUUGCCAUAUGUAGAUAAUAUAGGGUCUUUUCACACAUUUUACACUAAAAUAAAUAAAACAAUAUGUCAAAGUCAAAGGGCCCCAUGGAGCUCUAUUUUAAUUGACAUGUAGGUGCGAAACCCAACCACCAAAAUCAGCAAAAUAUAUUCUUUUGAAGGGGCUUUGCGUGUUGUAUUUUAAUUGUGUCUCUCCAAAAUGUUUAAUUACAUUAUUAGUUAUUAUUAUUAUUAUUAUUUUUACAAAUAAGUUGAUGAGUCAAAGUCUAAAGUCUACAGAUCAGGUGAGAAAAUAGUAACAAAUUAGUUUCUUUUUGUACAAUGUUUUUCCUUAGUUGGUGAAUCAUCUUUGUCAUUUAUUUCUAAGUAUUAUUGUUGACCUCUCAAUUUGGAUCUAGCUAGUAUUUAUUUAACGCCUAGGCAUGGAGACAUCUGGAACUGGCUCUGAUGCCGUGUUACUCACCAAAUUGAUUUUGCAAAAAAAAAAAAAAAGUCUAGAAAUAAUUUGACCAGAUAAUAUUCGUAUACUCGUAGCUGUACGUAUGGACGUUAAACAUUGGUUUUAUUACACUUGCGUGUCAUAAGAAUAAGCACUCUUAAAAGUACGUCUUGCACUAAGCAGAAAAGCACCGAUCUUUAGUAUACUUCUUUGUUCUGCAAACGGGAUUCGAGAUGCGGUAUUUCUCUGUAACCCCUGCUCUCGCUUCAUGAAUCAUGUUCCGCACCGGUGAAACGUGAUUCAUCACAUCGAUCUCGCGAGAAGUGACCGAGAACUUGGCUUGAAAAUGAAGAUUGAUCGUUACAAAGGCACGCCUUGGGCACUUUUAAAAGCUUAAUUUCUUGCGCUCUCCAUCUAGCAAUGUCGCAUGCACAACGGGCUAACGUGGACAGCCAUGCGGUAUUUCGAAAGAACCUUUUGUACGCUUCUGCGUUUGUGACAGACGGAGUUUGAGACAUGCGUGAUAGUUCUUUGGAACUGCUGCCACGCAUUCUUAUGCGCGAAAGCAGAAGACCUACUCGACGCAUCACGUUUUGCACUACAGAAAACGUACGUUUGUUCAACGCAUAACCUUUAUUUUAUAUACAUCUAUAAAUAUACUUUCUAAUAUAAUAUAUCAAAAUACAAUGAAUGAAGAAAAUUUAAGAAAUAUAUCGGGCAGUAGUAAUUAAACACAGCUCUUAUUAAAUAAAGAAAUGAUAUUAACAAUUACAUCUUUAAUAAGGGCUAAUCAUAUUCGUCGAAUCUGGACAAAUUCGGUCAGUAAAUAAUGACCGAGUUCAACGAAUCUUUUUUGUUGUGCAUAAUAAUGCUAAAUAUUAUAUUAUGCGGAUAAUAAUAAGCUCUAUUGUGUGAGUAAAGUUUUGUCCCAAAUCCACUUGCUAAAAUGCAAUUUCUCUUUUUCGCGAAUCUAAUACCACCCUUGUUGCUCGACACAUAGAAUCCGGGCCCACAUCCGACCGUACGAUAUGCCACGUGGCAUCAUCUGAACGGCUUUUCCGUGCGAAUGCGUACGACGCACUCCGCGUCCUCCACAAGAAGAAUCUCCCUGCACACUUGGUUCUCACUGUGCACCCGGUCUACAGCCGUUACAAAGUAAACUCGCCUCCUAUUGGGUGGCUCAAAGUUAUUGCGUGCACCACGGUCUAUUGUCAAGGGCUAUCCCUAUUUUUAAUAUUCUUGUAAUUUUAAUAUUUUUUUAAAGUAUUUCUAUCUCGGGAUCACUAAUAGAAUUGAAUUUAGAAAGGUAUUUUAAUAAUUUCAAAAUAAAAUUUAAGAAUUUUAAAUAAUAGUAAAGAAUAAAUAAAUCAAAAAUUCUUAUUUUAUUUUGUUUUAUUUUAUUUUAACAUUUUGUUACCUGUCACGGUGAAUAAAAGUCAAAAAUUCAAUCUCAAAUCUGACGUAAAAUAAUAAUAAAAAAUUCAGUAAAAAGAAAUUUUCAGGGAAAGGAAAGUGUUAAUAAGGUUCGAGCUAGUGGCUUCUUAAGUUUUUUUUAAAAAAAAGAAAAAAAAAGAAAAAACUUCAAAUACCCUGUAGUUUCACUUUUUCUCACUUUAGUAUCCUGUGAUUUAAAGUGCAUCAAAUUAGUAUCCUGUGGUUUAGUACUUUCUCAUUUUAAUACCCUGUGGUUUAAAGUAUAUCAAGUUAGUACUCUGUGGUUUCGCACUUUCUCACUUUAGUAUCCUGUGGUUUCGCACUUUCUUAUUUUAAUAGCCUGUGGUUUAAUAUUUAAUUAAGAAAAAAAUAAAAUUACAGAGUACUAACUUGAUAUAAAAAUAAAACGACAAGCUACUAAUUUGAUAUAAAAAUAAAACCACAGAGUACUAAUUUGAUACAUUUUAAUCCACAGGAUACUAAAGUGAGAAAGUGCGAAAUCAUAUGGUACUAACUUGAUAUACUUUAAACCACAGAAUGCUAAAAUGAAAAAGUACGAAACCACGUAGAGGGUUUUUGAAGUUUUCCGUAAAAAAACCCUAAAUUUACUAUCUAACCUUUCGUUUACUUAAUUUAGGACUAAAUGCAUUAUUUAUUUUUAUAUAUUUGAUUAGCAUAUUUUAUACAAUUCACAUAACUAUAAAUUUUUCAAAAUAAAUUAUUAACUUAAAAUUUGAAAUUAAAACACCUCAAGUUGAAAAAUUUGAAAGAUUGAAUAGUUAAAUCAAAAUAAUUUAUAGUUAGCUAGAUUCAGUAAAUUUUUAUCAAAAAUAUAUUUAAUAAUUAAAAAAUUAUAGGGAUGUAAGUGUAAUAUUAGAAGUGUGUAGGGAUAUAGAUGAUGAAACCUAUUUAUUAGGUGUGUGACACGUAGCGGGGAGACCAUGUUGACGCAAACUACGUAAUGGAACGGAACUUUGCCUUUUCCUUUUUUAUUUUAUUUUUUAUUUUUUUAAUAAUAGUUUUGGGCUCCGCUCUCACUUCGCAGAGGAAAAAGAUAAAAAGGAAAAGGAAAAGGAAAAGCCACUCUUUUUUAUACCCACUUCCACACCCUCUCUCUCUCUCCCUCUCUCUCUCUCUCCUUGCUCAGUGGUGGAAACCCUAGAGUGAGAGGCGGGGGAUCGAUCGGAGGGGUGGGGGGGAGGGGGCGAUAGCUGCGGUGCUGGGGGAAUCGUCGAUGACCUGGAGGGACGGGAGGGAUCGGCGGGGCGGAUCCGAAACCCUAGGGUCGCGUGCUCCCACCGCGGAGGACGCCUCCUUUUGCGGCGGCGCUCUUUCUCGUCGCGCUGUGGUGAGGUGAGGUGAGGUGAGGUGAGGUGAAGGGCCGCCGAUUUUGGAUCUCGCGACUCGGUUUCGAGCUCCUCGGCAUCGAUCGCGUCGAUUGUGGGGAUAUUUUUAGGUAAUCUUGGCGAACUCAGUCGAAGGAUCUCCACUCGAGAGGUAUAGCGUGGAUUCAGUUGUCGGAAAUCAGAUUUUAGGUGUUGUUGUUCGUUUUUGAUCUCAUCGUCGUUUCUCGCGUCGAUUUUUGGUGGAUUUAGGUAAAUCUUUAGCUAUUCAGUGGAAGAAUCUCUACUACAGAAGCAGAGAACAUUAGGCUGGGAUUUGUUUUCGUUUAGGGUUUUCAUUCGGUCUUUUGAAGUUAUUUUUUGGUCCCAGGGUUCGAAUUUUGAUCUUCUCGUCGUUAAUCGGGUCGAUUUUAGGGUCAUGCUUAGGUAAUUUUGUAAACUCAGUCGAAGAAUCUCUACUCGAGAGGCAACAAAGGUUCAGCUGUUGCAAGUGCGGGUUUUGAUCGUUCUUUUGGUGGGAGUUUAGGUCCCACAAUUCGGUUUUGAGCGUCGUGGGGUUGAUCGGGCGACUUUCGGGGCAUUUUUAGCUGAUUUUAGCGGCUCAGUCGAAGAAUCCCCACUCGGGAAGCAAAGCAGAUUCGGUUGCAACAUAUGAUCUUUUUCCUUUUUUCCUUUUUGAAAUUAUAAAUUUAGGUUUUGAUCAUUCUUUUGAUGCGAUUUUGUUGCGAAGAUGAUCUCAUGGGUUACUAAUAUCAAUUAUUGAUAUCGAGAAAAGAUUUCGCCACUAUUAGUGUUUUAUUGGUAGGAAAUUGUUCUAAUUUCUUAAAUAAUUGUAGGGAAAUUUGCUGUUGGAUACUAGUAAGUCAAAUUUCAAGCACGCUUUGACCAGUGUUUGCUUUAAUUUCUUUGCUCUAUUCAAUAUUUCUAAGGGAUGCAUGAGGAAAAGUCUCAUCUCUCUCUCAUUUUUCUUUUUUGAUUUUUUUGUCUCUUCUGUUGACGGAGACUAAGAUUCUUCGUUCUAUGUGGUUAUUACUCUAUAUUCGACCGAUUUGAUCCCCCCUCUUUCUGUGAGUUCUGUGAGGGCACUGAUAACAAAAUCAAACACUUCCUCCUCUUCUGUCUUCUAGGUUGGUACUGAGAUAAGAUCCAAUCUCAAUUCAAAAGGCCAAGGUUUUUUGUGGUAAGGAAUGAGGAGUUGGUUCUUGAGAUAUUAUUUUUGAUCAUUAUUGUGGAGACUCAGUGUGGUUGUUAUGUAAAGAAUGUGAUCUAUGGACUUCGAUGAUGGAUCUCUUAGCAUUCUUCUAUUUGGAAAUUAUAUGGAUUAGUCCCUUUUUGUGAGUCCUGUUUAUACCUUGAUGAUCUCUCUCUCUCUCUCUUUCCCUUCACAAAAAAUAGCUAUUUCAGAAUGUUCUAGUUGUUAGCGAUACCUAUGCCCUCUCAAAUCCGUUGCGUCAUGGGUUCAUUUCCUAACAACUUAUAUUUGUCAAACCCUCAUCUGUUGCCUGUAACGUUAGCUCAUGCCAAUUUUCUGUUUUUUGUAUUUUCCACUAAUUUCUCUAUCAAGGGGAUUUGGAGUGGUUAUUCAAUGUUGCUUUUACAUUGCAGAAAUAAAUAUUGUCUAUUGGGUGUUAACUCUUAAUCAGUCAUAUGUUUGAAGUGACUCUAAUCAUGAUCACUACUUUUUGAUUUUCAGGAGCAGUUACUGCGUGAAUAUGAUUUCCUCUCGCAGGGAACGGUGUAAUGGGCAUUGAAGUCGUCCCCUCUUCCAAUUGUAAAUACCAUUGUUAAUAAGGACCAUUUUGGAAAUUUAUUCACUGUAAUCAACAUGGGGGCCAACUGCUGUGUUGCUGCAAAGGACAAGCCUUUGCCCAGUGCAACUCGGUGUGAGGUUUCUACGUAUAGGAAUAUGAGGCAAUCUCCUUCUUGGAGCUUUCGGUGGGAUAACCGAACCCACAUAGAGGAUAUAAUGGAUAAUACUGCUCAGUUUUCUCAGCACAGUAGCAACAGUAGUACUGCUGCUUCUGAAAUAAAGAAUGAAGCUGUCGUAGAAAAUGAAGGUCUUUUAGUUGGUGGAAGUUCACUUGAUGCCAUUUCUGCAGAAAAACAGCGAAAAUCUCAUCUUGAGACUGGAACUACUGGGAAAUCUAAAGCUGUCUUAACAGGUAAAGUUGCUUCUUUAACUCUUAAUCUAGAUGAUUAUUUUGUUGCUUUCACUCGUCAUUGUCGAAAAUUGGGGAACUUUUAUGAUUGUUGGAUUCUUUUUUAUGGUAGUUUAUCUUCAUUCAGAUUGAGUUAUUUUUUUUUAAUACCUAUAUUCUUAGUUGUUACUGCAAUAUACACAUAAACUGUACUUUCAUCAAUAUGUAGUUGCCACUUUAUCGUAUUAAAUUAUCGUGGUUUGGGGUUGAUUAGAUUUUGCUUGUAAUUUAAGGAAAAAUUUGAGUGAUGAAAGUUUCUUUUGGAAAAGAAAUUGUUGAGUUGUGUGUAUGACUGCAUGUUUGGUUUAUAUGUUAGCACGUCAGAAAAUGUGAUGAUAAUUUAAAAUCUGUUAUUAUAUUAAGAAUCCAUCUGUUUUGUUCUUCCAACCUUUAUUCUUAUAUUGAGACUUAAAUAGUACUCGGUAAAGGGAUAUACAUGGCUAGGUCAUUGUUGUGCUUGGAAACUGUUUUUGGGAAUUUGGUUAGGCUUUGGAGAACGCUUUUUUGGUGUUGACUCUCUAAAAGUAAGACCAAAUGUGGCAUUGCAAUCAUAAACUUUGUAGCACUGAAUUCUACAUUGAUAUAGGUGCCUUCUUAUGUGCUUAUGCGGUCCUGGUUACAUAUACUUCGAAUAGUGGAAUUAUUAUACUUAUAUUUUGCUCAGUUUUUCAUAGAUAUUGGACUUUUGAUGCCAUUAUUAUGGCUGACACUUUGCUCGAUUGGCCAUAGAUAUUUUGCUCAGUUUGCCAUAUAGGUGCCCACUUAAGUGCUCAUGUGGUCCCAUCGAUAAGCUCCACUCAUAAGGCUACACUGUAUGAAUAUCCAGUUACAGUGAGUAAGAAAUGGUAAUGUUUGUCAUACCAAUGCGCUAUAUCACCUGUUAGCUUACUCUCCAGUUUAUUUAACUGUGGCUUUACAAGAGCUUGGCUUCAGAAGAGCUCAAUUUGCCGUAGGCAUCGAACUGAAGCUGAGCUUCAGCUCAAGCUCUGAUACUCUUCCCAUUACCUCAGCUUCUCCUUGAAACUACGCUCGAAACUAGAUCAUUUUUUCACCUAGGUUCAGGACGGGACCUGAGCAUGGCAUAGUUUAAGCCCAAACUGCUGUGAGGCGUGCUUUAGCAAAUUAACCCCAGCUAUUCAAAGAACAUUUGGUUUGCAACCUUAUGUCCUUUUUUUUAUUUCUAGUUUUCUAGCAAUGUUGUCUUGUGGACCUUAUGUCAUCUAAUAUACUUCCCUCUCCUUACAGAUCAAACCAUGGAGAGCAACUUUUCCGCGGAGGUAAUAAUUUAAAUUACCAGCACUAGGAUUCUUUUAUUCCGAAAUCCUCCUGUGUUAGGCAGGAUUGAAGCUAAAUGCUUUUUCUUUUUUAUUAUUAUUUAUUAGUAGUAUUAUUAUUAUUUUUUGCAGGAGAAGGAUCCCGUGAAGCCUUCUGGCAAAGCAAGUGUCGAUUCAUCGAAACCCUCAACCUCUCUUCCUCAAACCCCGUCCUCUUCUACUUUUAAAUCAGACCCUUCCUCCUCUACAAGCCAUUCUCAGCUGUCCGGUCCAGCAUCAUCCAAGAAGCCACGCCAAUCUGACUGCAGGUCCUCUUCCGAUGGCUGGUCCAUGCACUUGUUCUCUGAGCUCAUCUCUUCUUCUCAAAGAGAAAGAUUGUCAUUUGACAGUGAAAACCAAAAUUCCAUAAACACUAGUAAGGCAUCAAGAUCAAACACUCAACAAUCAUCCCCCCCACUGUCCCCAGAAGACCAAAAAUGCAAAAUAUGCUUGAAGAAACUGAAGGAAAAAUCCCCAUGGAGUACUCAAAAGAUAAUUUCCACCAAUGAGCUUUCUGUUGUUGCUAUCUUAUUCUGCGGCCAUGUUUACCAUUCUGAAUGCCUGGAGAAAAUGACUACAGAAGCUGAUAAAUACGACCCUCCUUGCCCUAUGUGUACCCAUGGCGAGAAGUUUAUGUCGAAGCUAUUUGCGAAAAUCGAAUCAAAGGUUAGGAACAAGGCGUCCAAAAUCUCGGUUAUUGAUAUUGAUCCUGGUGGCGGGGGUAAUGCUCUGUCUGAGAAGCACCAAAAUGGAGGUCCGGGUAAAGGGCUUAAAUUGGGGGCGAGUUCUAGCAUGAAGGGCUCAACCAAGCAGCCGUUUUUAAAGCGGCACUUCUCGCUCGGUUCGCGGUUCUCACGGACGGUAUCUGAGAGCGAGUCCUCGAGAAAGAAGGGGUUUUGGGGAAGAUUAAGGGAUUGAAGGUGCCCCCUCCACGCCGCUCUCCUCUCUCUCUCUCUCUCUCUCUCUCUCUCUAAAUUUAAUCGAAGAAAAGAGGUGAGCUGCUGCUUUGGUUCUUUAUAUGUUUCGAUUAAUCAAAAUACAGGCAUUACAUCGAGGCAAUCUUUUCCCCACACCACUAAGAAUAUUCAAAUAAAUUUGCCGCUCUUCUCGAUUGCCUUUCUAGAUUGAAGGGUAUAAUGUAUGCUUAGUUCUUGUACUAUCCUGAUAUUGUGACUUUGCCCCCGUUAUUUUACCUUCAACACACAAUCCCCGAAUUUUUACAAAUGUGGCAGUUUAGCCCUGCACAGUCAUAUUGAAAAUCUAUUCUUUUGAAGUAGCCAUUUUGCUCGUUCAUUUGUAGUCUAUUUACAAGUAACAUGAGAUAUUUUUUAUGGUUAGGGACCACCAACGAAAUACAUGUUCAAGCCCGGGUUUAGAUUAUUGAGUCACAAUGUCGGGAAUCGUACUGGUUCUAUGCAUGUAGUUUCACUUGAUCUAAUGCUUGGACACUUCCUAUUUCACUAUACAAGUACAUUUAUUAGUGUGUAAAUUUUAGCUGAACAAAGCAUUAUAAAGUUACCGGUGAAGUGGAAAAGAAAAAAAAGAAAGAAGAGGGUGUGGAACUACUCUAUCUCUCAAGCUUCCCUAAAGCCUACUUCGCUUGUCGGAGAAGGGGAUGAAGUAGUAAAUAAUCUAGCAAAUAUAUUAAAGGGAGAUUAGAUGCAACUAAUCUAUGGUACAAGUAUUAAGCGAGUUUUGUAGCUUUUUGUCCUUUUUUUUUUCCCGUUAUUUGUCGCUGUAGUCGGUGAUCUUGUAUACUCGUUUCAUUUGGGGGAUUUUCGUAUCAGAACAUGUAUUGAUGAUAGUAAUGGUAUAUUUUGAACGCUAUAUUUGUGCUCCCUGAUUUUUCUCUAUUUGUUAUCUGAUUGUUUUCGUCGUCGUGUGUGCAUGUCAACUUGCUAUUUGCAGGGUCAUGGAUUCGUGACCAUUUUUAUAGAGAGAGACAAGUUAGAACUGCUGGAACAAAGAGAGAAUAGACACUUUCACCCUUUUCUUUUACCUUUUGGUGUUUAUUUAUUUAUUUAUUUAUUUAUUACUUGAUCUAUUUUGAGAAUUGCUUGCUCUUGGCAUCUUGGAAUCUCUCUUCCUGGGACUGGACUUCAACUGAGGCCUUCCUAAAUCCGAAAACGAAAGCGGUGUUUGAUUCCUCGGAAAAACUAUUUUCAAGGAAAAGAGAAUUUAUGGAAAACAGUUCUCGUUUUUCAAAUAAAUAAAUCUGAAAAUUAAAUGGAGGGAGAUUAUUUAUUUAUUUAUUUUCAUGAAAUCUGAAAAAUUUAUGGAACUGCAUAGCUCCUAUUUUUGGAGGACAUGGGUUGGUUAGUCAAAGGUUGUGUUUGUGAGGACUAGCUCAAGUUCAGGUUUGUUGAGUAGCUAACCCACUUGGGGGCAAAAAUUGUAUGGACACGGUGUGCAAAUUAGCAUUUUUGGGGACACUCCCGAUGGGCGCCGCGUGUCUCAUAGGCGUCCAUCUCACCGUCCCUUUUCCUUCCCCUACUUUUCUCUCUCUGUCUCUCUCUCUCUUUCUCUCUCUCUCUCUCUCUCUCUCUCUCUAUAUAUAUAUAUAUAUAUAUAUAUAUAUAUAUAGAAACCUUCCUCUACUUCUCUCUCUUUUUAGAAAAAGUCGCAUUUUUUUUUUAAGAAAGAGAAAGGGACGAUAAGAUGGGCGCCUGCGUGCCACGUGGUGCCCAUCCGGAGUGUCUUGAAAAAUGCUAAUUUGGACACCAUGUCAAUUUUUGCCCCCUACUUGGUUGUUGUGUUAUUGUUAGAGAUGCAAAUGAAUCCGAGUUCUUGGAUCUUCCACCCUAAUCCCGUAAGUGGAAGGCAAUAAAUGAAUUCGGAGCAGUGCCUGGAGCCUUUAUUUAUUUAUUUAUUUAUUUAUUUUUUAUAGUCCAAGACGGAUUCAGCAUUGAAAAUAGUGAAAAAAUUGAUCCGUCCUAAAUUUACCCUGAAUCUGUUUUUAAACUAUGAGAUUAUUAUUAUUAUUAUUUAGAAUAUUAUUUGAGUUCUAAAUAUUAUUUAUUUUUAAAGUUAGUGUAAUUUGCAAGCUAGUUGCUUUUAUGGUACUUUCCUUAUUUUUAAAUUUCAUUGUAAUUAUGUAAUCUAAGUUUCAAAUGUUGUUUAUUUCUAAAAUAAAUAUACUUCAAAAGAUUCUUGCUCUUUUGGUACUUUCAUCAACUUCAAAUUUUAUUUAAUUAAAAUAAUAAAAAACUAAUUAUAUUUAACUUAAAUUUUAAAUAAAAGUUUAAAAAGACAAAUUUUUAAGCAGGGCUGAUUAUAAGACAAAUAUUUUAUCCCGUCACAAAUGCAAGACAGGAAGUAGGGCAGAUAUGGUGUUGGCGCGAUAGAGUCUUUUCCUCCCAGAUUCGCUCCGUUCGCAUUCCUAAUUGUCACAUAAAAAAAAAAAAGAAGUAAUUCUCUAUAAAGUCAUGCUGCUUUUGCCCCUUUUUUGGGGCAAAAUUUUUGACAUUUAAGCUUUUUUGGGGAAAUGUAUUAACAUACAUAAAGAAAGCCUUUUGCAAACUCCAUCAAAGAUAUUUCAAUACAAUACUCAUUAAUAACAAAUAACAGAGCUUUAGUUGUCACUUUCAUUGGUUGGUUCAAUUUAGCCUACUUCCAAAGCCAUGACAGUGCUUAUCUAAAGAGACUUCUCAGGUAUUUUUUUUGGGCAUUAUUUAUUAAUCACUCACAUGCCCAUGAUUGUGACCAAUCAAGGCCUAACAAUGAAGAUAAGGAACAGUGUAUGUAUAUUAUAUUCACAUAUAAGUAAAUUUCAUAAUUGCUUUCAUAAGAAGCAGUGUUUCUCAGUUCAUCAAUGUUAUUAUAAUAUUUUGAAUACUUUUCCCCUUUUAGUGGGCCAAGUACUUAAGAUAGUGAUGGUCAUGGGGAUAAUUGGUUUUCACAAGGUGUUAAAUGUUGUUGUAUUUCUAAUAAGGUUUAAACAAUUAAGCAUUUAUUGGUGGAAGAGGGGAAAUUAAUAAUACUCAGGGAAUUAAUUUUCAUGAAGAAAAUUGAAGAAUCUGAAGUAUGGUAUGAUAAUAAUUAAUCUUAAACGCUAACAACUAAUUCCAAAAACUCGAACUGUUGGAAAGAUACAACUAAUUGUUUUAAAGUGUACAGAUGCAGUACCUAUAGGUCUCAAUUAUGACUAGGCCUAAUCGGCCUCUCGCUACUUCAAACAUCAUUCGGCCCAACUCAGCCUCUCGUCAUUUUGAACGUGACUCGACCCAAUCUGAUCUCUCACCGAGAUGAGAAUGUCGGUCCCAUUUAAGCGAACGAAAAGAAGCGCUAGCUUCAUCUUCUUCUAAUUAAUUUAUGCCUCUAUAAAUUUAAAUUUUAUGUUUGUUUCAAAUGUGUGAGUCAUUUAUAUAUAUCUAGGAUAUAGAAAUACCAUCAAGGAGACCAUAUAAUAUCAAAGCACACUUCAUCAACUCAAAAGUUCGUCAAUAAUGGCCAUCGCAUUUUUUAUUUCUAGAGACGACUAAAUUUUGUAUUCUUGUUAGACAUCCCAUGCUUAUCCAUAGCCACUUGAGCUACAUUAUAGGGCAAUGCAAAGGGCACCAUAAAAUGUUUCUUAUAAAUGCUGCUGACGAGUUAGAAAUUUAUAUUGUCGGAUCGUUGGCGCUAACCAUUAAUUCCAAAAACUUGAGUUGUUAGAAAAAUAAACCAAUUCACUUAGCGUCAACGGGCUUAGGUUGUAACUCAGCCCAACCAAUCUCACGCCACUUCGAACAUAAUUUUACUCAACCCGACCUCUCACAAUUUCGAAUAUGACUCGACCCAACCUGAUCUCCCAUAACAAGAUAGAAUUAAUGCUGGCCUGUCUCUUUAAUCCAACAUAUAUAUAUAUAUAUUAGUAUGUUAGUAACUAAAUUUUUUAUUUUUUUUCUUGUCACAUGAGAACUACAGACUUAUUAGCAACAUUAAUUUGAGGGGAUCUUCUAAGAUAUCCAAAAGAUUACUCCAUAUUAUAAUGCCCUCCUUUGCGUAUCUAGUUUCAACACCAUCAAUCAUCAUUUAUAUUAUUAUGGGAGACAUGAUAAGGUGGAGUCCCCUUAAUCAUAAACUAACCUUUCCAAAACCAUGUUAUGUUUGGAUGCAUUCUUUUUCAUAUUCAAAAGCCUUUCCUUUCACAUUAAAAUUAAUAGAAUUAAUGAGCACCUUCUAUCUAUACAUUGUUGUAAUUUUGUGAUGUGAGUGCUCUUCUAAGAGGAAAACAAGCAAAAAAGUAGAGAGCACUAAAAGUGGCUUAGUGGGAGCUGUUAUUAUGCUUGAUUUGAUUAAGGAAUUGGUGCAUGCAACAUCUAAAUUUUCCAAAGAUCUUUUCUCCAUCAAUGGCAUCUUCUGCAUACAUAACUUGGAGUGGUUUUCAUAUGAUGUCAUGAGAGAGAGAGAGAGAGAGAGAGAGAGAGAGAGAGAGAGAGAGUCAUUAAAGCUUGAUGGUGGUGUUGCUCUUAAAUGAAGGUUUCCUAGUUUUUUGAAACUUAAAAGUGUGAGCUCAAUUUGGAGCCACCCAAAAUAAAAUGUCAUGGUGUUCUUUCAUAAUUAAUUAACUAAUUAAGUUCACCAAUUAUGUAGAGAGAUGAAUGAGAGAGAGAGAGAGAGAGAGAGAGAUCUAGAGUGAGAGAGAGUUAAUUUCCAUGAUGAUGGUUUAAUUUGUUCUUGAGUGAAGGUACAUGAGAAUUAAUUAUGAGCUCAAUUUGCAGCAAACCAAGUCAUGAUUUUGUUAUUGUGCUUGUUCAAGGACUAUGUUGACCAGUUAUUUAAAGAGAUAAUAAGAGAGAAAGAGAGAGAGAGAGAGAGUAUACACAUGUGCUCCUUUCAUAUAUAUCUUCUUAAUCAUAAAAAACUAAACUAAACUAAACAACCAUUACAACAAUUAACCAUUUCAAUCACUUCACUUAAACUAAAACUACAAUUUCCACUACACAUGCAUGCAUGCAACUAAUUCUCUACAACUCUAUACACACACACACACACACACACACAUAGAUAUAUAUAUAUAAUUCUCCUAAUUGACUACACCUCCUAACACUAACUAAAUAAAACUACUCAAUUAAUUAGCUCCUCCUCCUCUCCAUGAACACAGAAGCCAAAUCCUCAGGCACAUCAAAGAACUCAACCCCCUCCAAUCUACACCUCAAAGGAGGCCUUGCCUUCUUAGGAGCAGGUGGGCAAAGCAACACCUCCUGCUCCUGCUGCUGCAAUACUUUAGCACCCUUCUUUGGUGUCAACUGCAGAAGAAGAUCCUCCUCCUCCUCCUCCUCCUCCUCUUUUGCUUCAUGCUGUGGUGCAGUAGUGAGGGGCUUCAGAGGCUUCAAUAUCGGCGCUUUCAGCGGAAUUCCGGCAAUGACCCACAUGGCUUUCUCUCCAUUAGCUUCACUUUGAUGCUGCUUCUUUUGGAAGCCCAUGUAGAAAGAAGGAGAAAGAUGCAAGAGGAGAAAGGAGUGUGUUGUGGAGGUGGAGAGAGAGAAAAAGAAGAGUAGUGUGUGUGUGUGUGUGUGUGUGUGUGUGUGUGUGUGAGGAAAUGAGAGAGAAAGGAGAGGGGGUGUGAAGCUCUUUUUAUUAAGGGUAUCUUCUUUUAAGAAGAAAGGGGUGGGAGGGAAAAAAGAGGAAAAGGGAGGGGGGUGAGUGAAAAAGAGAGUGGCAAAAGUGGAGGGAAUUUAAGUGAAGAGGUGAGGGGACUUGUGACUUGUGUGAGAGCUCAAACAAAAGGAGCCACAUCCUAAAAAGUAUAGAGUAGAUGAGAGAGAGUGAGAGAGAGAGAGAGAGAGAGAGAGGGAGAGAGAGAGAGAAAGGUGUUUACACAUUGUGGUUUCUAAAAUUUAAUUAUAAUAAUUUUAAAAUAAUAUGCUAUGAUUGAUGAUCCUACAAUUAUUAAGAUAUAGGCACUAUAACUAUAUCAGCGAUACACCAGCAUUCAGUCAAAUAAAUUAUAUAUAAUAAUUUAAAAAAUUUGAGUCAAAAAUUAUAUUAAAUUAAAAUUAUGAUUCAAUAUUAGUAAUUUAUAUUCAUAUUUUAAAAUAUUUAGAUCUGAAUUUUCAGAGACCAAAGUGUAUAAUAAGCACAAACUAUACGAGUAUGGUGCAUGCAAUAAUUUCUCAAUGGGGGGUUAAUUUGGAAGGUGGAUACACCAUUUUGCUUCUACAAUAGCUUUACAAUUUUAUACAAUUUUUAUAAUUAUUUAUCUUUCCUAGAGAAGAAGCUUUUCACCCUAUAAAUGAGUAGCACUGCAAAUUAAUUACCAAAAGUUCAGAACUUUUGAUGAUGUAGUGUUAAGCUAAACAAAUUCUAAUUUUUUUUUUAAAAAAAAACUAAUAAAGCUCUACAUGUAUGUACUUUAAACCAAGCAUAAAGUGUAAAGAGUAUUUUAGCCAAAAAAAAAAAAAAAAAGGAAAAAAAAGGGGGAAUGCUCAAUCAUUGGAUAUUGUCCUAUGCAUAUGAAUGCAAAGGGCUUAGAUUGGCCUCCUCUCUCCUAAGUCCUGCCCAUAUCUUAUCCAAAUUGAUGAAGAGAGAGCAGAAAAUUUUUUAAUAAAUAUUUUUUUUAUUUUUCAAAAAUUUAUAUUUUAUUUUUUAAAAACUUUUAAAAAUAUUUUUAGUGAGUUAUAGUAUUAAUAGAAAGAACGAAAUGAUCAAAUUAAUCUUACUUAUCCUAGAAAAAAUAAAAUAAUAUUUUAAUAUUUUGUUAUUUUUAAGGGUAUUUUUGAAACGACAGAAUCAUGACGAAGAGAGCUAAAUAUAUCGACUUAAAAAAUUUGAAGGAAUAAAAUAUAAAUUUUUAAAAACCAAAAUAAAAAUUAAAAUAGCGAAUAUUUAUAACAUAGUUUUCUAUAUUUUAUUCGAGUUUUAAAAUAUAUUUUUGGUAAAAAAAAAUUAUUCAAUACUCUUUCUAACAACUCAACAUUUUUGAAAAAAUAACCAUCAAUCAUUAGCUGUAUGUUCAGAUUUAUGGCAUCACUUAUACAGUGCAAUAUCACUUUAUACAUACAGAAAUUUUAUAUACAUACGAAAGUAUUUCUUUCCUAACUUGUCUCCAUCCCCCAACCAAAUAAUAAUAAAAUAGCUAGGUACCAUUGGAUCAUACAAAAAAAAAAAAAAAAAAAAAAAAAAAAAAAAAAAAAAAAAAAAAAAAAAAAAAAAGAAAAAAGAAAAAAGAAAAAAGAAAGAAUAUCAGUGGAGAGCUUUCCUACAACGCUUCGUUCAGGACUUUUUGAUCCGUUGUCAUGUAUCAACUUUGUCUGCUCAACAAUACGUUAUCAUGUAUCACUUGAAGGUUUUUUUUUUUAUUAGAUUUUAGUUUUAACCCAUAAAUUUUUCCAUGAAGAUAAAAGUAGAGUAAGAGUCCACCUGGGAUACUAUCGAUAGCACCAAGGACUUGGUACUAUCGAGUUUUCCACCGUUAAGUUAAAUUUUUUGAUUAUUUUUGCUCGUUAAAUUAUACUAUUCAACUUCUCAAUCUAAGGGUUAAAACACUAAUAGCACCAAUAGUUUGGUGCUACUGAUAGUAUUCCGGCCUAGUCCAGUAGAGUAAUUAUAUGACAAUAGAUAUAUAGAGAGAGAUUUAGACAUUGAAGAGAGAGAGAGAGAGAGAGUAAUUUUGGGAGUUACAAAACAAUGUCCACUCUCCACCUCCAUUUCCACCCUACUCAACUAGGGCUGUCAACGAGCCGAACUCGAGCGAGCUGGAGCCAGCUCGAGAUCGGCUCGUCGUCUUCUAGGCCGGCUCGUGUUCGGCUCGAGCUCGUGACGAGCUUGAAAACUUUGGCUCGUGAUCGGCUCGAAACUUAAUCGAGCCGGCUCGUGUUCGGCUCGUUAGCUCAAUUAUAUAAUGCUACCGAAGUUCGCUGCCGCCAAAGUUCGCUGCUGCCAAAGUUCGCUGCUUCACUGCCGCCAAAGUGUCGCCGUCGAAGUGUAACAACCCUGAAGAAUAAAUGGUAGAAGUAGUAGUUAACAGAGAAAGUUAGCAAAAAAAAUAGCAACUUUACUAGUUAAAAUGGAGAAUAAAAAUGGCAGCAGCUCGGUGAUGAAGGAGGAGUCGUCGUGGCAGGUCGAGCCGUCGGGAGGUGCCCUCGCAAAGGCGCGGACGAGCUGCUAGAGGAGGACCAAGGUCGAUUAGGGCAUCCUGGAAGGCAAGAAAGAUCGAGGCCAAGAGGAGAUCCGACAGAAUCUAUGGCUUGGGGGGCGGAAGUAGUAAUACUUCAGCCGUGGCGGAGCGGGCGGUCGAACCAUCUGGAGCGGGUGAGAAACACGAGCCCACUACCCACUCCUGUGAGGAUCGUGCGGAUAAGGCAACCCGGUACCCGUUUAACCGAUAGCGGGAUUACUUAAGGAGACAAGGACCAGCCAAGCCCAGCGGGGGCCCAGCUAGCAUCAGGUGGCAGCCUAUACGAUUUUUUUAAUCAAUUCGUCAUUUUGCUGUAUAAGCCCUCAUAGAUUGAGUUGUUUACACUUCAGUAAAAGUCACCCAAUAGUAUAAAUACCAAGUAUAAUGUAAACCUGAGACCAUCAAUGAAAUGAAAUAUUGAAUCUGCUUCUUCUCCUAAUUAUCCUUCUUCUUCCCCUCUAAUCUCCACCNGAGCAGUGGAAGCGCAAGUUGCCCCCCGCCCUGCGCGGCUACGUGGAUUUGUGGCGCCCCUGCAGCGAUCUGCUCCGUUAAACUUGAAAAAAAGAUGAAACUUCAAACUUCUCCCGAUCCAUCAUCUUCUGCCACCCCUUAGUCUUAUUCUUAUCUAAUAAUUAAUAAUUAGAUAUUUUUUAUAGUAAGAUUUGGAGAAGUAGAUUAUAAUUUUUAGAUAGAGAUAAAAAUGGAACGAUAGAUCGAAGUUUCUUAACGAGAUGUUGUUGUCGUCUCUAAGAAAAAUUAGAAAUUGCUCACUUAGAAGUCAGGCGCCAACAUUGUCGGGUUUGAGUUGGUUGGUAUAUUUUCUUAUGGAGAAAUUGUGAUGUCCUAUUUCUCAUUAGGUCAUCCAUUUCAAGAUUAUUUUAAUGUUAGUAUGUUUACCUCUCUUAAUCUAUUCUACCAUGGUCUAGCUACUGUCCAUUAAAUUUUAUUAUAUUUUACAUAUAGAAUUAUCGGAGAUCUUACAUUUUGUAUUUUUUAAGUCCUGACUUUUCGUCAGGAUCGGACUUACCAGUACCAGGCGAUGUAAGAUUCACAUCGUCUCGCUAAUCUUAAUUAACCUUCUGGGGCAGUUGCAUUUUACCCACAACAGUCAUUGGCUUGAAACCCUCGCUCUUCCCGUUGUAUAAUCUGGCUCAUCUCAUACUUUCAGUUGGUAAUUGGCUGAUACCAAUUGUGACGGCCCAUUUCUAAGGGAAUCACCUAUCCUAGUGUUGGCUUAAAUAGACCAGCAUUCUGCCCUGUGGCGGGAGAUUAUGUUGCGUCGAGUCAUGUUCGAAGUGGCGUGAGACUGGUUAGACCGAGUCAGAAUCAAGACCCGUGCGCACUGUAUUUGUACGGUUUAAGUGAAUUGGUUGUAUAUUUCUAAUAGCUUGAGUUUUUGGGAUUAAUGAUUAGUGCCAACGAUUCGACACCUAGGACUAUUAUAGUCUUAAUAUGCUUAACUCUCUUAACUUCUUGCGUCUAGCUAUCGCCCAAAAUUCUAUAACCGGAUUAAGAAAUUUAAUCAUAUUAUAUCUUACAUAUAAGACUACCUAGGGUCUUACAGAAACUAUGUUUUAGCACGGUAUAUCUAAAUAGUUUAAGUGAAUUGGUUGCAUAUUUCUUAUGAGCACGGUGGAAAUAGCGGCAAAAAAAGAAAAAAAAACUUCAAUCACUCUUCUUUCCUAUGUUUUAGCAGAUUUUGUAUUUUAUUUUAUUAAUUUGUGAAUGCAUUUGACUAUUAGUUAGUAUCUCUUGCUACACGAAUAUUUUUUAUAACUAUUCAAUUUAAAUUGGAUGAUAAUAAAAUAAAUAUUUAUAAUAAAAAAUAAUAAAAGUUAUUAAAANCCCCCUCGCUCCCCACCUCCACCUACUUCGACCUCUUCGCCUCGCUCCCCCCCAUCCUCCCCCCCGGGCCCCUCGCCCUCCUCGGCUUCGGCGCCGGCUCCGCCGCGCGCCUCGUCCUCGCCCUCCACCCCGGGGCGCGGAUCCACGGCUACGAGCUCGACCCCUGCGUCCUCGCCUUCGCCCGCCGCUUCUUCGCCCUCGCCGACCUCGAGGCCCGCCACCCGCUCCGCCUCACCGUCCACGAGGCCGACGCCCUCGCCGGCCCCGCCGCGUCCGUCCCCGGCGGGUUCGCCGGGCUCAUGGUCGACCUCUUCCUCCGCGGGAGCGUCGUCCCCGAGCUCCAGGACGCGGCGACGUGGGCGGCGCUGAAGGGGCGGGUGAGGGACGGGGGGCGGGUGAUGGUGAACCUGGGGGGGCGGUGCGUGGAGGCGGAGGAGCGGAGGGACGGGGACGCGGUGAUGCGGGCGACGCUGGGCGCCAUGAGGGAGGCGUUCGGCGCGCACCAGGUGUUUGUGUUAAGUCUCGGCCGAGGCGGGGGCGACGAUGACAGCUUCGUCGCGCUCACGGGGCCGCUGCCGAAUUCAGAGCAGUGGAAGCGCAAGUUGCCCCCCGCCCUGCGCGGCUACGUGGAUUUGUGGCGCCCCUGCAGCGAUCUGCUCCGUUAAACUAAAAAAAAAAGAGAAAAGAUGAAACUUCAGACUUUCAGGAGCCAGCUCCCCAUCCAUCAUCCUCUGCCACUUGUUAGUUUUAUCCUCGUCUAAUAAUUAUUGAUUAGAUUAGAUAUAUAUUUUUUUGGAUAGAGAUAAAAUUCGCACGUGACGAUGGAUUAGGGUCAUCCAUCCUAGAAAUAUUUUAGUUUCACUAUAUCUAAUUUUUUUAACAUCUUGGGUCUAACUACCAUCUAUUAAAUUUUAUUAUAUCUUAUAUAUAGAACUAGUUACCGUCUCACAUUUUUCUCCUUUUAAGUUCUGACGUUCUCGUCAAGGUUAGAUUCGUAAGUAUCGGACGAUCUGAGACGUGUCUCGCUAGCCUUAAUCGACAUUGUGGGAAAGCCAUGCUCCACCUAUUAAAUC
rnacentral:lncRNA from 1 species